GAGGUUUGAAUCACUCUUUUAAUUUUAUGUAUGAGAAAAUAAAAGGGGUGUCUACAAGGAAAAAAUAUAUGCCACAAACCGAGAAUUAAACAAUGACAAAAACCCCCAAGUCUAAUAUUGAAAUUCAAUUGCCCAUUUUUUAGCACUGUCUAUUCUCUAGGUUCCUGAAUGUGUUACAUAUCUCCCUGACUGGUCUACAAGGUCCCAGGACAUCUGGUUGUGUGCUGAAGCACCUGCUGUAGCCAUACAAUGCAAGAUAGGCUUCCUACCCAGCACUCCACUGCCACCCAAGGUCCUGAUACAAAGCUGUGAAGAAAGCUGACUAACUGGAGCCCCUAGUAAUGGCACAGCUAUAACUCCAGAAACACUCUGACUUUACAACAAAGAGAAGUGAUGUCAUCUGGAUUAAUGAUAGCAAGACUUCUGCAGCUCUAAGGACCUGGGAUCAGUUUUAUGACAUCAGCACAGCAACCCUGUUAUUGAAUGUCGCAGUGCCAGAUCUGUACUGUAAUGGUCUGUGUGACACAUGGGGAAGACGAUGGAUCACUGCACGCAGCUGGAGGGACAGAGGUCAAUGCACCAAUUUAUGCUCCAGCAAUAUCUGGUACUUGCUCCUGAUGUACAAUUUGUGGAAAUACUAUACCUUCCCUACAGUCACUGACAGCACUUUCCUAGACACCACAAAAUGGCUACUGCAUCUGGACACAUCAUAUCCCGUAAAAAGCACCAAAUCUUGUGAUUUCAGAUAUUUCAGUGUUUCCAUAACUGCAAGGAACAGGUCCCACCUCUGAUUCAUUUGCCCCAUCCUUUUAAAAUUUCUAUUAUUUAAUGCAAAUAUCUUAGAAAAUAAAUCUUGUCCUUUGCUUUAUUCCUUUCAUAGUCUCUUCAUCCCUGCUUUUGCUAACACCAGUAAAAUCAGACUUUUUAUUAGUAAUAAAACACUAUUUACGUAGUGGUUUAAUGAAUCUGUUCACAUUACAAACCCACUUUCUUCCUCUUUUCAGCCAGGAAGUGAUUGCUUUUUCUUCUCCCAGUUCAUCAAACAAAGUGAGAUUUUAAAAGACAAAAACACACACACAAAAUAAGUUCUUUUGGCAGCAUAUUUCAUUGUCCAGUUACAAAAUAAAUAAAAAGUACAUAACUAA